AUUUAACCUUUAUUUAUCCAGGUAAGCCGAUGGAGAACAAAUGCUCAUUUGCAACUACGACCAGUCACAUUCAGAAAGUUACACAUUCAGACCUGGAAGAUGUA